UCUCGGGUCCCCUAGGUCGCGGGGCAGCCGGGGCGGAAGGGGCUUGUUCAUUAUUUUGAGAGUUUGUUGUGAACGUCAUAACCUUUCGUCCUUAAAUAUUGCCGAUACUUGACCUACGCAAGAGACAAUGUCAUGUGAUUCAGCCUAAUAUCUCAAUGUAAUAAGGACUUAUGAACAGAAGACAUGUCUGUGUGCCAGGCAGCUGUGAGACAAAAUCGUGGAUCUCCGCACUGUAAACCCCCAGACCCAGGACUUACAUAACCUAGGGAAAUGUUGUUUCAGAAGGGAUGUGUAGGACAGUUGAAGUACAAGAACAUCAAGGUCAUUUCACCCAAGGGCAGAAUUUAUGGAGGAUGCAGCAUUCAAGGUUCUAUCUUGGAAGCAGAGACUGUGCCCUCACCAGAUGCUGAACCUGCUGAGCACCCUGAUCUUCCACUUCACCUUCAUCAGAACUGGUGCUAAGAAUUCUGAAUUUAUUGAGGAAAUAAAUGUCUGAUUGCAACAAAAGAAAACUUGUCUGGCUUUGGGAAGGAAGAGGCUUAGGAAAAAAAUUAAAGGCGUCUUUACUAGAAGUUCAAGACUGCUGUGAUUGCACCUGCCAUCUUAUGCAGAAAUGACCUGAAGACAGACUGAAACAACGUGUUCUACAGCCUGAAAAUAUCUACCUUGACUUACAGUUUUAUUAAUGCUGGUGUGAUCAGACUGGACAAAAAUUAGCAUAUGUUAUUAACUGAUCUAAUUCAAGUGCCAAUUCUUAAUAGAAACACAAAACAAUAAAAGCAAUUCAGAAAA
rnacentral:lncRNA from 1 species